GCCUUAGUGGUGUAGUGGUCAGCACGCUCGAUGCGUAUUCGAAAGGUUCGGGAUUCGAGUCCCGGCGAUGGCA
rnacentral:tRNA from 1 species